GUGCCAGCAGCCGCGGUAAGACGUAGGAGGCGAGCGUUGUCCGGAUUCAUUGGGCGUAAAGAGCGCGUAGGCGGUUUGGUAAGUCGGAUGUGAAAGCCCGGAGCUCAACUCCGGAUCUGCAUCCGAAACUGCCCGACUAGAGGUAGGUAGGGGAGAUCGGAAUUCCUGGUGUAGCGGUGAAAUGCGCAGAUAUCAGGAGGAACACCGGUGGCGAAGGCGGAUCUCUGGGCCUUACCUGACGCUCAGGCGCGAAAGCUAGGGGAGCGAACAGGAUUAGAAACCCGCGUAGUCC
rnacentral:rRNA from 1 species